UCAGAAUCAGAUCGGCGUCUGGUGAAAACACUGUCCACAUCUGGAAGGCGUUUAAGUCAUGGAGAGACCUCCGCUUUUUUUUUUUGGAUAUAAAAACUGACAGAGUUGGCUUUCAUCCUGUUGGACAGUGUCACCUUCAUCUCUUCAUGCGAGUACUGUACCUGUUGGUCUUCCAAAUGUGGAUGGUCUCUGGGUCAGAGAUGCCGUGUUGUCCUGCCUGGUCGUCCAGCAGGUCAAAAAAGUAUUUGACAGCCAGCGGGACAGGACGACUGGUGCUGAGGAUCACGGUGAACAGAUCGUCUACAAACUUCUGCAACGUCCCCUGAAGAACAUGGCGGAGGAGGGCGAGAGUCAAUAUGAUUUAGUGCGGAGCAUCAGCUUUGGGUUCUUGGCCACAUACUGCUCCACCAGGUCGUUGAGGAGAGUUUUGAGGAUGUCAGUGAAAUACUCCAGUUUGCCAUGCAGCGCCACCGUCAGCAGGGAGGCCACGUAGGCCCUGUCCCUGGGAGAGAAAGUCCGCUGGCUCUCAAGAGUGUGAAUGAACUGAGAAGAAGAGCAGCAAAUUAUCCCUCUGAUCAAACUGCUGGUGUUGUCUUAA